rnacentral:rRNA from 1 species
GACGAACGCUGGCGGCGUGCCUAAUACAUGCAAGUAGAACGCUGAAGGAGGAGCCUGCUUCUCUGGAUGAGUUGCGAACGGGUGAGUAACGCGUAGGUAACCUGCCUGGUAGCGGGGGAUAACUAUUGGAAACGAUAGCUAAUACCGCAUAACAGUAGAUAUCGCAUGAUAUCUACUUGAAAGGUGCAAUUGCAUCACUACCAGAUGGACCUGCGUUGUAUUAGCUAGUUGGUGAGGUAACGGCUCACCAAGGCGACGAUACAUAGCCGACCUGAGAGGGUGAUCGGCCACACUGGGACUGAGACGCGGCCCAGACUCCUACGGGAGGCAGCAGUAGGGAAUCUUCGGCAAUGGACGGAAGUCUGACCGAGCAACGCCGCGUGAGUGAAGAAGGUUUUCGGAUCGUAAAGCUCUGUUGUAAGAGAAGAACGAGUGUGAGAGUGGAAAGUUCACACUGUGACGGUAUCUUACCAGAAAGGGACGGCUAACUACGUG